UUCAUCAAGGAGAGUAUUAAGUUGCUCAAUGGUACGUUUUUGGGAUUUUUAGAUACAUGAUGUUUUUUUCCACCAUUACCCACUACACUUCAUCGUUAUCUACUACACGCAAUGUUUUAUCUGCUCUAAAACCUCUCCCAUGAGUACGGACCAAACAAUGUGACCUGCAAACUUCUGGGGUUCUCAUUUAGUGCAGUGGUACAACGCCUGUAAGGGAAAUGAAAGGUGGAUGUUGGAAAAAGGACAUUGCACAGUCAGAAAUAGAGAUGUCUAAGGUCCCAGAUCAGCCAGAAACAUGGAUGUGCUUCUUCAAGAAACACCAGAUGCUGAAUAGCCUUACGACUUCCAGGAGUAAGUUGGAACCUAGGGUGGGAGGAUGUAGUACCCCUGCCCUAAUCAUAUUUUUUAAUCCAGUUUGACCUUGGUUGACUUUUUAAGUGUCUUUCUUGGAUGGUUGAUUUACCAUGUUGUAAUGUUAUAGUCAGGUAUUAUGAUUAUUGUGUAGACUUGUAAAUAUUGUUUUCGCAUCGAUUCUUAUGUUAGAUUAGUUGUUCUUUUGAUUCGUGUUAUUAACCUCGGUCUAACACUUUCAUUGAAUAUAUA